rnacentral:lncRNA from 1 species
AGAAGUUUGUUGGGGGGCCAGACUGUGAUAGUCAUGAGUCGAGGUUAAGCUUGAUACUUCCUCUUUGUUUCUUUGUUUUCUUUGUUGUUGAAGAAUAAUGGAUAGUUUUUAGAUACUGAAAAGUGAGUCUGUGGAAUAAAUCAUAGAUUGAUUUAUGAGUUAUUGAUUAUGUAAUUGGAAUACUAAGUGAUUGAAUUAUAUGAAAAUUUAUUGGAAGAUUGAUUAUAGAUGGAAGAUUAUGAUUAUUAUUUAUUGAGAGUUGUGUGUAUGUGUUUUGACAGAUGAAGUUUGUGAUUACAGGAUCUUGUGAAUUUAGAUUAGUUGGAAUGAAGUCUGUUAUUUUUGGUAUUGGAUGGAAUUUAUUGAGUUUUGAGCGGUCUUUUGAGAGUGCACGGUUGCACAUUGUGGUUAUCAGUUGAUGAAAGAGUAUUGUUA